UAGGGAAUCUUCGGCAAUGGACGGAAGUCUGAACGAGCAACGCCGCGUGAGUGAAGAAGGUUUUCGGAUCGUAAAGCUCUGUUGUUAGAGAAGAACGUUGGUAGGAGUGGAAAAUCUACCAAGUGACGGUAACUAACCAGAAAGGGACGGCUAACUACGUGCCAGCAGCCGCGGUAAUACGUAGGUCCCGAGCGUUGUCCGGAUUUAUUGGGCGUAAAGCGAGCGCAGGCGGUUCUUUAAGUCUGAAGUUAAAGGCAGUGGCUUAACCAUUGUACGCUUUGGAAACUGGAGGACUUGAGUGCAGAAGGGGAGAGUGGAAUUCCAUGUGUAACGGUGAAAUGCGUAGAUAUAUGGAGGAACACCGGUGGCGAAAGCGGCUCUCUGGUCUGUAACUGACGCUGAGGCUCGAAAGCGUGGGGAGCAAACAGG
rnacentral:rRNA from 1 species